ACCCUACGCAACCACAAAACCUUCAAGCCCCUUGCUUAUUUCGGCCCAAAGAAGCUCCCCCUACUAGUAAACACCUUUGUAACCGUCCAUAGAACCCUAGAUACGAGAUAGACAAUCAACCAGGAGAUCAGAUAGAGAAUGAAAACGUGUUUUGCUUCUAUUAUUUUUUCCUGCUAUGCAGUCAUACCAGGUGAGUAUUUAUAUUGCCUACUAUUUCUUAUGAAGAUUUUAAUGAUUCUAUUCUUGCUGAAAUCGAUGAGUUAUGUGAGUAUGAGACAAAGUCCAAGCUAGUAAUUAAGGAGUCUAGUUAUAUCAUUAAUUCAAGUGAAGAAAUCACAUUCUGAAAAUAAUUGUGGACUUAAUACUGAUUUGAGUCCUUUUGGUUUAGAGAACUUCCAAAGUGAUAAUAUUUUGUAUGAAAGUUCUAAGACUUUAAAAAUUGAAGGCAUGCCUACAGUGUAUGCAAAGUAUAUGCAGUCUUUAAAUGAUAGAAACGUGAAGCAGCCUCCAGCGACAAUAUGGUACCUUUAAUGCUUGUUGCGAGUCCCCGAAGUGGUUAAUUAGGUUGUAAGUCUGUUAUUUCACUAUUUACAUCUCUUUUUUUUGUUUAGACCUUUCUUAUAUAUUAUUCGCUUGCUUUCUAAUUUCAGAUCCACCAUUAUGAGUAUUUUAAUGCUCCUGCACAAGGUUAAUUCGUACACCCAUGUUUUUGGUGUAUGGUCGGGGACAACAAAGAGAGGCGGUCAUUGAAGCUGUCUAUCACUCAGAGAGUGGAAUGAACAUACAAAUUUUAGAGAUUGGUGACAAAUUUGUGAAGUAGUCCUAGGGAAGUCCCGAUGGCAUACCACCAAGAACCUGCUCCAGCAGCCUCGUUUUGCUCUCGGAAACCUCAAAACAGCCAUGUGUUCCCUCAGGAUGAUGUCGAGAAGACGAGAACAUGUAAGAGCUCAUGGGGCAUGUUCCUCACAUUUUUCUUGUUAUUUAAAACCAUAUUUUGGCAGCCUCUGAUUUCAAAACUAUAGAAGAACAACCGAUCAACUUGAACAAUGAUAGAAGAAUUACCAAUGAUACACGAAGCAUGAUUAACAAGUGAUAUAAUUUUUUAUUGAUUGGUUGUAGCUAAAUUUGACAAUUAAAUUUAUUUGAUUUGUGAUUUGAUGAAAUUAGGAUAACAUUGGAUGAUACACUAAUUUUAUUAAGAAUUUAUGUAAUUUCUUUUAUUGUUUA